rnacentral:rRNA from 1 species
GAUGAACGCUGGCGGCGUGCUUAACACAUGCAAGUCGAACGAUGAAGCCCAGCUUGCUGGGUGGAUUAGUGGCGAACGGGUGAGUAACACGUGAGUAACCUGCCCUUAACUCUGGGAUAAGCCUGGGAAACUGGGUCUAAUACCGGAUAGGAGCGUCCACCGCAUGGUGGGUGUUGGAAAGAUUUAUCGGUUUUGGAUGGACUCGCGGCCUAUCAGCUUGUUGGUGAGGUAAUGGCUCACCAAGGCGACGACGGGUAGCCGGCCUGAGAGGGUGACCGGCCACACUGGGACUGAGACACGGCCCAGACUCCUACGGGAGGCAGCAGUGGGGAAUAUUGCACAAUGGGCGCAAGCCUGAUGCAGCGACGCCGCGUGAGGGAUGACGGCCUUCGGGUUGUAAACCUCUUUCAGUAGGGAAGAAGCGAAAGUGACGGUACCUGCAGAAGAAGCACCGGCUAAUUACGUG